GGCCGAGUGGCGGAAUGGCAGACGCACACGACUCAAAAUCGUGCGAAGAAAUUCAUGAGGGUUCGACUCCCUCCUCGGCCACCA
rnacentral:tRNA from 1 species